rnacentral:rRNA from 1 species
AUUGAACGCUGGCGGCGGGCUUAACACAUGCAAGUCGAGCGGAGAUGAGGUGCUUGCACCUUAUCUUAGCGGCGGACGGGUGAGUAAUGCUUAGGAAUCUGCCUAUUAGUGGGGGACAACAUUCCGAAAGGAAUGCUAAUACCGCAUACGUCCUACGGGAGAAAGCAGGGGAUCUUCGGACCUUGCGCUAAUAGAUGAGCCUAAGUCGGAUUAGCUAGUUGGUGGGGUAAGGGCCUACCAAGGCGACGAUCUGUAGCGGGUCUGAGAGGAUGAUCCGCCACACUGGGACUGAGACACGGCCCAGACUCCCACGGGAGGCAGCAGUGGGGAAUAUUGGACAAUGGGCGUAAGCCUGAUCCAGCCAUGCCGCGUGUGUGAAGAAGGCCUUUUGGUUGUAAAGCACUUUAAGCGAGGAGGAGGCUACUUAGAUUAAUACUCUAGGAUAGUGGACGUUACUCGCAGAAUAAGCACCGGCUAACUCUGUGCCAGCCGCCGCCGUAAAAC